UUUGUGAAUGGAGAAUUAUAAGUGUGACCA
rnacentral:piRNA from 1 species